rnacentral:tRNA from 1 species
UCUAUUGUAAUCUAGUUGGUUAGGAUAUUCGGCUCUCACCUAAAAGGCUCGGAUUCAAGUCCCGACAACGGAA